GUGCAGCAGCGCCCAGCACAGAGCCCCCAGUUCUCUGCAGCAAGGAGCACGGAGCAAAGGAAAGCAGGUGCGGUUGCAAGAUCAAAUAUAUCAAAAGUGCUGAGAAAUAAUGCUGAAAUGUGGAAAUGGCAAAAUUGAUUAGUGGGCUGUUUGUCCUAAUGCUCCUUCAUCUUUGAUCGUUUUUAUACUUCUAUCGAUGUAUCCAACAACCAAUGUUUAUGCACCAUGAAGACCUCUUUCACAUCCUGAGGAUCUUCUGAGUGUUGCCCUGCUGUUAUGGUUGCUGCAUCACUGACUUGGCUGAUGGAGUUGAGAACUGACUUAGAAAUGCAAAGGAGCCCCAAUAAGCUGUGAAUGAACGAGCACCUUGGAGGAUAAAAUCUGAAUUUGAAUUGAUCUUAAGGUGAAGAAUUAGGAUCAUAUAACCAAUGUGGGUGGCCUGUGCCUGAAGUUCUGAGGUCCAUAUUCCAUAGUGCUGAGGAAGGGUUUCCGUGGCUCCUCGCAUAGCCUGUGCAGUCUGCAGACAAUGGAUUGAUUUGAGCUUGCCUUCCUUGGGCUGGCUGACAAGGCUGUUCAGCUUUGAGUCCAUGGGAUCUGCCUGGGAUCAGACUUAUUU